AUUAGAGAUGUGAAUGAGAUAACACUACUAAAUCUGCAGGUUCUUCUCACACCUGUGAAUGAGAUGAAGAAACCGAUCGAGGAUUUAGAUUAAGAUAGAAGGUACGCCGUCGAUACCUUAAUUGUUUGGAUGAGAAACAGCCGAAAGGUUCGCGACAUCGAGACUUGGUAAUGGGUCCGUAUCUUCUGUGCCAAAAGAAAGGUGAGCCACCUGUGCCAGGCCAAUAACACUGCAACACCUGUUCUCUUUUAUUUGUAACAGCAAAACGGGCCGUGGUUUCCUUUAUGCAAUCCUCUCAGUUAGGAUACACAAAUACCUCCAAGUCCUCCACCAAGAUUUGUGUUCAUCCCAGCUGUCUGAUCAAAAACAGAAAAAAAAAAAAGAUUUGCAUUCAUGCCCAAAGCUAGAUAAUCACUAAAUUAUGGCAAAGGAGAAGAUCGACGUGUUCAGGGAAAACGUCAACGUGGGGGUUAACAAAUAGUUGUUCAAUUCCAUCAACAUAAUAGUUCUCCUACUACUGGUAUUACUGCUAUACUCUGCACGAACAGAUAAUUGAUCCGCUUCUCUCCCAAUUUCUUUAAUCGAAUCAUUUUGAUUGUGUUUUGAUCCGGAUCUCAUCCCCAUGAUCAUCUGUUAUUAUUAUUACUAGAGCAUCCCAUGAUUUUAUCAGCAGAGAAUAUCCGCCAUUCUUCUUAGAUCUUAAAUCAUAAAAUCUCAAUUUCCUCUCGCUUUCCCAUUAUUUUGUCAUCACUCUCUCAAUUACAGUACGACAAACCUUGAAUUAUCUGACAAAAUCCAAAAAGUUUCUCAAUUUAAAUAUUUGUAUAAUAAAGAGUGAAGAACCACACUGUGCAAGGGAAGUAACAAGAAUCUUCAAUUUCUUUUCAAAUCUCCAAAUUUCAACUUUUGAUCUACAAAAAAAUACAUGGGGAGUUCUACUGUGAUUACGGUUGGUGGUCCAACUAAAGAACAGGUGUCACAAUGCUAUUGGCCUGUGGCUCCCCUAUCUUUUGGCACAGAAGAUACGGACCCCUUGGUAAUGGAAUGCGUCGAGCAGUUAGGCCACACAUUUUAAGGAGGAGGAAAAUGAUGAUUCUGGAGGACUAUGAAGCAUUGUUUGAGAAAAUCGACAUGAAGCCUGUAUAUGGAAUACAACUACCACCAAGACAACAUGAGAUUGAUGUCGACACUGAGCUCGUGGAAGUCAAGUUAAACCACUGGCAUAUGCUAAUGGUAUCGGCAUAUCGAGUAAUAGAAUCAAUGAAGGAUCUAGACUAAUGAUACCGACAUAUCGGAUGGGGAGUAUCGAUGUUUUACUUUAGAGCGGGGGUUAAAAAAGUAAUGCAAUUUAUCAUAUUAUAAGUUUACAUUUUUUUGUCCGGAAAGUCCUUGCUUUUUGUUGGUUUGAACUUGCUUAAGUCUGUUCGACUGUACGAUUGGUUUUUGAAUAUGGUCUUCGUUUUACUAAUAAGAUUAUGUGAGCAUGUUCAAUCUA